rnacentral:rRNA from 1 species
GUAGGUGGCAAGCGUUGUCCGGGAAUUAUUGGGGCGUAAAGCGCGCGCAGGCGGUUCUUUAAGUCUGAUGUGAAAGCCCACGGGCUCAACCGUGGCGGGUCAUUGGAAACUGGAGAACUUGAGUACAGAAGAGGAAAGCGGAAUUCCACGUGUAGCGGUGAGAUGCGUAGAGAUGUGGAGGAACACCAGUGGCGAAGGCGGCUUUCUGGUCUGUAACUGACGCUGAGGCGCGAAAGCGUGGGGAGCAAACAGGAUUAGAUACCCUGGUAGUCCACGCCGUAAACGAUGAGUGCUAAGUGUUAGGGGGUUUCCGCCCCUUAGUGCUGCAGCUAACGCAUUAAGCACUCCGCCUGGGGAGUACGGCCGCAAAGGCUG